rnacentral:rRNA from 1 species
UACAGAGACCUCAAGCGUUAUCCGGAAUCAUUGGGCGUAAAGCGUACCGAUAGGUGGUUUAGAAAGUCAGAAGUGAAAUCUCUCAGCUUAACUGGGAGACUGUCUUUUGAAACUUCUAAACUAGGGGGGCAAAGAGGAAGCUGGAACGAACGGUGUAGUAGUGAAAUGCGUUGAUAUCGUUCGGAACACCAAUAGCGUAGGCAGGCUUCUGGGUGCCACCUGACACUGCUAGGACGAAAGCGUGGGGAGCGAAUGGG